GACGAACGCUAGCGGCGUGCUUAACACAUGCAAGUCGAACGAUGAAGCCGGAGCUUGCUCUGGUGAAUUAGUGGCGAACGGGUGAGUAACACGUGAGUAACCUGCCCUUGACUCUGGGAUAACUGCUAGAAAUGGUAGCUAAUACCGGAUACGACCCUCGGCGGCAUCGCCAGGGGGUGGAAAGAAUUUCGGUCAAGGAUGGACUCGCGGCCUAUCAGCUAGUUGGUGAGGUAACGGCUCACCAAGGCGACGACGGGUAGCCGGCCUGAGAGGGUAACCGGCCACACUGGGACUGAGACACGGCCCAGACUCCUACGGGAGGCAGCAGUGGGGAAUAUUGCACAAUGGGCGCAAGCCUGAUGCAGCAACGCCGCGUGAGGAAUGACGGCCUUCGGGUUGUAAACCUCUUUUAGUAGGGAAGAAGCGAAAGUGACGGUACCUGCAGAAAAAGCACCGGCUAACUACGUGCCAGCAGCCGCGGUAA
rnacentral:rRNA from 1 species